UACGUAGGUGGCAAGCGUUGUCCGGAUUUACUGGGCGUAAAGAGCGCGCAGGCGGUCGGCUUAGUCUCGUGUGAAAGCCCCCGGCUCAACUGGGGAGGGUCACGCGAUACUGUUCGACUCGAAGGCAGGAGAGGGAAGUGGAAUUCCCGGUGUAGUGGUGAAAUGCGUAGAUAUCAGGAGGAACACCAGUGGCGAAGGCGACUUCCUGGCCUGUUCUUGACGCUGAGGCGCGAAAGCUAGGGUAGCAAACGGG
rnacentral:rRNA from 1 species